rnacentral:rRNA from 1 species
UACGGAGGAUGCAAGCGUUGUCCGGAUUUAUUGGGUUUAAAGGGUGCGUAGGCUGUUUUAUAAGUCAGUGGUUAAAUUAUUUUGCUUAACAAAAGACCUGCCAUUGAUACUGUAAAACUUGAAUACUGACUAGGUAGGCGGAAUUGGUAGUGUAGCGGUGAAAUGCUUAGAUAUUACCAGGAACACCGAUAGCGAAAGCAGCUUACUGGACAGUAAUUGACGCUGAGGCACGAAAGUGCGGGUAUCAAACAGG